ACCCGAGCCGCGCGGAACGGCGGUGGUGGCCUGCGGAGCCGGACGGGGCACUAUGAACGAAGAGGAGCAGUUUGUAAACAUUGAUUUGAAUGAUGACAACAUUUGCAGUGUUUGUAAACUGGGAACAGACAAAGAAACACUCUCCUUCUGCCACAUUUGUUUUGAGCUAAAUAUUGAGGGCUGACCUCGAGCAAAUCUCCCACCUCAGUCUCCCAGGAAGCUGAGAUUACAGAAAGAAGACAAAGAUAGAUUUAUCUCUACUUUAGAGGAAGUGAAGUGUCACCCUCUAGUUGGAAGAAACUAGUCCACCUUAUGCUCAGUAAAUAUUUAGGGAAUUUAUACUUUUAGGGGUACCAAAGUCUGAUCUCUUGCACACCAAAUCAUUAAGGGGCCAUAAAGACUGCUUUGAAAAAUACCAUUUAAUUGCAAACCAGGGUUGUCCUCGAUCUAAGCUUUCAAAAAGUACUUAUGAAGAAGUUAAAACCAUUUUGAGUAAGAAGAUAAACUGGAUUGUGCAGUAUGCACAAAAUAAGGAUCUGGAUUCAGAUUCUGAAUGUUCUAAAAACCCCCAGCAUCAUCUGUUUAAUUUCAGGCAUAAGCCAGAAGAAAAAUUACUCCCACAGUUUGACUCCCAAGUACCAAAAUAUUCUGCAAAAUGGAUAGAUGGAAGUGCAGGUGGCAUCUCUAACUGUACACAAAGAAUUUUGGAGCAGAGGGAAAAUACAGACUUUGGACUUUCUAUGU
rnacentral:sRNA from 1 species